UAUUCAUCAAUGAAAAAUUCAUUACAUCUAUGAAACCGUGUGUGAUUGUUCUUUAUUUGCAGGGUCAACCCGGUGCUCCUGGACUCCCGGGGCCAAUGGGAAGCCGCAGUGACGGAUAUCAGGGAGAACGAGGAGACAAGGGCGACGUGGGUCUUCCCGGACCCAGUGGUACUCCCGGCGACGGGUCGCUAAGUGGCGAACAAACUCUCACUAUCUACAAAGGAGUUAAGGUAACACAGCAAGGGAAGGGAAGGAGACGAGGUUUUAAACGCUUUUCACAGCACAAAACACACACACGUGGUGGGGCUCAGUGUUAUCGAAGGUCAGUGCA
rnacentral:lncRNA from 1 species